GGGAUAACACUUGGAAACAGAUGCUAAUACCGCAUAACCAUAGUUACCGCAUGGUAACUAUGUAAAAGGUGGCUAUGCUACCGCUUUUGGAUGGGCCCGCGGCGCAUUAGCUAGUUGGUGGGGUAAAGGCUUACCAAGGCAAUGAUGCGUAGCCGAACUGAGAGGUUGAUCGGCCACAUUGGGACUGAGACACGGCCCAAACUCCUACGGGAGGCAGCAGUAGGGAAUCUUCCACAAUGGGCGAAAGCCUGAUGGAGCAACGCCGCGUGGGUGAAGAAGGUCUUCGGAUCGUAAAACCCUGUUGUUAGAGAAGAAAGUGCGUGAGAGUAACUGUUCACGUUUCGACGGUAUCUAACCAGAAAGCCACGGCUAACUACGUGCCAGCAGCCGCGGUAAUACGUAGGUGGCAAGCGUUAUCCGGAUUUAUUGGGCGUAAAGGGAACGCAGGCGGUCUUUUAAGUCUGAUGUGAAAGCCUUCGGCUUAACCGGAGUAGUGCAUUGGAAACUGGGAGACUUGAGUGCAGAAGAGGAGAGUGGAACUCCAUGUGUAGCGGUGAAAUGCGUAGAUAUAUGGAAGAACACCAGUGGCGAAAGCGGCUCUCUGGUCUGUAACUGACGCUGAGGUUCGAAAGCGUGGGUAGCAAACAGGAUUAGAUACCCUGGUAGUCCACGCCGUAAAC
rnacentral:rRNA from 1 species